AGAUUUGAAGUGAAUUUUCUUUGUUUUAUUUAAUAUAUUGAUUAUUUGUGGAAAGAUUUGUGAUCAUCUUGCUUCAGCCUCUCAAGUUUAUGGCAUUACAGGUCAUCAUGAGGUAAACAGUCUUUCUCUACCACAUUCUCCUGUCAGGAUACACAGUGGGGCUACAAGUCCAAAGCAACAGAACCAAGCAACCCUAUACUGAAACCCUGAGCCAAAUGAAUCUUCGCUCCUUUUAAGUGGAUUAUCUUGGGUAUAUUUGUCACAGUAAUGGAAAGUUGACUAACACAGCUAUAUAGCACAUUUUUCCUAAAUUUAGUGCCAAUGACAAACAUUUAUUACUCACAGUUUCUCUGAGUUAGGAAUUCUUUGUUGGUGAAUUGGCACCAAGUUUUCUCAGGAGGUUAUAAACAAUUGACUUACACCACGGUUUCAUCUGAAGACUGGUGGUAGUGGUGGAAAGGAAGCAUCUAAACCCAUUCAUGUGAUUAGUUUUAACCCCAUUGCAUUGCUUCAUAUAUAAACUGACUUUGCCAAGUAUGAGCAAUUUGAAAAAGAACAAGAGCGAGAGCCUGAGGCAUAUGCCACAGUGUUUUCAUAAAAUAGUUUCAGAAAGAAUAUCUCAUUACUUUAGUUGUUUUCUGUUCUUUAGAAUCAAUACAACAAGUUUAACCCAUUAUCAAAGGAGAAGAAAUUAAGCAAGGUGUGAGUACUGAGAGGUAGCAAUCCAAGAGGACUAUUGUUGGGACUUAUUUUCAAUAUUUCAAAUUAUUCAGUAUUUUUUAUUUGUGCUAUAGGCAAUAUAAUCACUUAAACUAAGAAGAGAAUGAAUGUUAGAUUAAGGAAAAGAACACAUUAAAUCGGGUAGCACAAGAAAGAAUAAUAAAUGUUCAAUUUAAAAAAAUAAAUAGAAAACAAACUAGAUUCACUUCAAUAUUGUAAUGGUAUGGGCAAUUAGGAAAAAGAAAGUAGAGAAUUCUAAGCUAUUCUGAAGUAAUCAACAAGGGGCAAUUUCAUUGUAUAUGUUAGUCAUAUCAGGAUAAAGAUUUUCAGAAGAACAAUAAUACUUCAGUCUUGUGAAAACAAGGCUUGAAAAUAGAAGAUAGUAAAUAAAAACUAGAGCCAUUAAACUGGUUAUGAUCAAGAUGUUUGUGAAGGCUCUGAUAAAUAAGCAACUUCGCCCCAAGAUGAGAUUCAAAAAAAGCAUAGGAUUUUGUCACUGGAUAUGAAUUUGAAGAAUUACAGAAUAAUUCAAAGACUACUAAUCACUAAGCCAUGAUGUUCCAGGCACAAGUAUCGAAUAUGUCAUGUUUCUCAUUUAAUUAGUACAUUAAUACAAGGAAUGUUGUUAAGAAAUUCAUUGUGUUUACAUUCCCAAAACAAGUGGCAACCCCUGUAGAUUAAUUUAAAUCAAUAAUUAUAACUCCAACCCCUUUACUGAUGGCCCAUUGAGGACUGGUAAUAUGGUCCAUUGUGAAGAAGAAUCUAUGAGAAGAUGUCUAUUGUGGGCAUCUGGAAUAGAUUUUUCUUUCCAAAUAAUGUCAGUGAGAAAGAUAAGGUGUCUGUUUUCCUAUUGGAAUUUAUCAUGUUUACAUAUAAUACUUUAGAACUGCUAUAAAUAUCUUGCUCUUAGCUCAAAGAUGAAAUCUACAUUAAAGAUGACACAAUUUACCUAAUUAUAUUUAAUGCUGCAGUGAUACAUUUUAGAAUAAAUACCAAAAUGAAAAUAUCUCAAAUAUUCUCAAUUUGACAAAUCCAGAUUUUUUUAAAAAUUACUAUUUUUUUGCUUAUCUUUUUCACUAAUUUGAAAAUGAAGAAGACUGAAUGAAAUCUCAGAUGUAUUAGCAGUUUUUUUUCUUGUAAGAGAAAAUAUGUGUUGCAUCCCUAUAAUUUCUAAAUAGAAGAAAUGCAAAAGUGGAAAGACAGUAGGUUGGUUUAUGAAAUUAACCACUUGGCAUCUGUAGCAGAUAUUUACUUACUGCCAAAUAUUUACCACAAUAAACAACAGUCUUUGCUGUCAAAUUUUAUUACAGCUUGCAUCGAGGAAGGAAAGUUCCCUUAGGAACAGUUCUUGUUUGACAAAAAUGAACACAGUGUCAUUUUGCUUUCUGUUUAUGGAAAGACAAAAAUAAACACUUAUUUCGGUAAUUGUAACAUCUUCAGAGUUCAGACAUUCUGCCUAUCAAAAAUGAAUUGUGGGAGACUAUAUAACAUCAAAUAACAACUCUGGCUACCCACUUCUAAUUCCCUGGUAUUAUUAUAAAAAGCAAAAUACUGAGCUGAGGAAAAUCAGACAGCCAAUUUUCAUUGCAGUAUGGUUUGGGAAUGAAAAUAAACAGUGUGAUUUCUGUAGACUUCUCAGAACUUUCAUGGUACAGUGGUUGUGCACUGGGGGUCAGCCCCUGGGUGAUUUGAACUGUGGUGUGUCAAGAUGCUAUAACUAGUGGACCCAUGUUUGCUAUUUGUGGGUGAUUAAUUUUGAUUUACUUUUUAUCUUUUAACAAAUAAGCAUUAGAUAUAUACUGUAUGAAAAUAGUUUCAAUAAAUUUAUCCUAAUUGUAUUAUUUUA